GGGGGGGGGGGGGGGGGGGCUGUUGUAAUGGUGAUGGAGGGGUAGGAGAAGAGGAGGUAGAGAGAGACAAGAAGAAGAACAAGAAGAAGAGAGGAGGGGGCUUGAUGAGCUUCUUGUUCGCUUUUCUUUCCAGUAAGUCAGCUCCACCUAAACACACCGGCCAAUGAAAACCAAUGAAACACAUUCACAUCACAUCAAACAUUUCAUUUCUCCUAUGUGUGCUUUUUAUCCACAGCGGGGAUGGAACGAGGAGCCAACUACUCAACACAUCAUUACAAGAUUGUUUGUAAGGUCCACAAACAGGUACUCACAUCCUCCUGGCUGAUAUUCCCCUCCUGGGCCUAACUCUAAGCAGCUUUUUAAUUAGUAAUGGUGAGUUUUUAUAGAUUUGAACUGAAACUUGGUUAUCAUUGCUGUCAUUUGGCUGGACUAUGUCUUUGCUAACCUCCAUGGGACCCUCAAUUCAGCUGGGCCCCAGAAAGCUUUACACCUUCCCCCUGUUAUGGGCAGCCUUGCCCACAAAAUAAGACAUAUGGGGAUUAUAUGGUUUGGGAGAUUAUGAUAGCCCUAUUUAAUAUUAGAUGACAUGAUGAAUACUGAAAGGUACCUGAUUAAUCUAAAAAUAGUAAAUGAAUUUAAAAAAUAUAUAAUUUUCUGCAGCUGUGAUAAAACAAAGCAUCAUAUGUAGUAUAA